UACGGGGGGGGCAAGCGUUGUUCGGAAUUACUGGGCGUAAAGGGCUGGUAGGCGGCCAACUAAGUCGGAUGUGAAAUCCCCAGGCUUAACCUGGGAACUGCAUCCGAUACUGGUCGGCUUGAAUCCGGGAGAGGGAUGCAGAAUUCCAGGUGUAGCGGUGAAAUGCGUAGAGAUCUGGAAGAACACCAAAGGCGAAGGCAGCAGCCUGGGAAGCGCCUGACGCUCAUGUGCGAAGGCUAGGGGAGCGAACGGG
rnacentral:rRNA from 1 species